GGUGGGAUGACGUCAAGUCAGCAUUGGCCUUUAUAUCUUGGGCUACACACACGCUACAAUGGAUGGCACAAUAGGUUGCAACAGCGCGAGCUGAAGCUAAUCCCCAAAGCCAUCCUCAGUACAGAUUGCAGGCUGAAACCCGCCUGCAUGAAGUCGGAGUUGCUAGUAACCGCAAAUCAGCAUGUUGCGGUGAAUACGUUCUCGGGCCUU
rnacentral:rRNA from 1 species